AGGGGAAGUCGGUGAUCCUAUGCUGCCAAGAAAAUCUUCUAGCGAGGUUCGAGCCGCCCGUACCCCAAACCGACUCAGGUGGUUAGGUAGAGAAUACCAAGGCGAUCGAGUGAAUCGUGGUUAAGGAAUUCGGCAAAAUACCCCCGUAACUUCGGGAGAAGGGGGGCCCAGAGGGUGACGGGACUUGCUCCCCGAGCCUGAACGGCCGCAGAGACCAGGGAGAAGCGACUGUUUACUAAAAACACAGGUCCGUGCCAAGUCGCAAGACGAUGUAUACGGACUGACGCCUGCCCGGUGCUGGAGCGUUAAGGGGACCGGUUAGCCUCACGGCGAAGCUGAGAACUUAAGCGCCAGUAAACGGCGGUGGUAACUAUAACCAUCCUAAGGUAGCGAAAUUCCUUGUCGGGUAAGUUCCGACCUGCACGAAUGGCGUAACGAUUUCUCCACUGUCUCAACCACGAACUCGGCGAAAUUGCACUACGAGUAAAGAUGCUCGUUACGCGCAGAAGGACGGAAAGACCCCGGGACCUUUACUACAGCUUGGUAUUGGUGUUCGGUACGGCUUGUGUAGGAUAGGUGGGAGACUGUGAAGCUGACACGCCAGUGUCGGUGGAGUCAACGUUGAAAUACCACUCUGGUCGUUCUGGAUAUCUAACCUAGGUCCGUGAUCCGGAUCAGGGACAGUGCCUGGUGGGUAGUUUAACUGGGGCGGUUGCCUCCUAAAAGGUAACGGAGGCGCCCAAAGGUUCCCUCAGCCUGGUUGGCAAUCAGGUUUUGAGUGUAAGUGCACAAGGGAGCUUGACUGUGAGACUGACAAGUCGAACAGGGACGAAAGUCGGGACUAGUGAUCCGGCGGUGGCUUGUGGAAGCGCCGUCGCUCAACGGAUAAAAGGUACCCCGGGGAUAACAGGCUGAUCUUGCCCAAGAGUCCAUAUCGACGGCAUGGUUUGGCACCUCGAUGUCGGCUCGUCGCAUCCUGGGGCUGGAGUAGGUCCCAAGGGUUGGGCUGUUCGCCCAUUAAAGCGGUACGCGAGCUGGGUUUAGAACGUCGUGAGACAGUUCGGUCCCUAUCCUCUGCGCGCGCAGGAAACUUGAGAAGGGCUGUCCCUAGUGCGAGAGGACCGGGAUGGACGAACCUCUGGUGUGUCAGUUGUUCUGCCAAGAGCACCGCUGAUUAGCUACGUUCGGGAGUGAUAACCGCUGAAAGCAUCUAAGCGGGAAGCAUGCUUCAAGAUGAGGUUUCCAUGGGGUUUACCCCGAGAGGCUCCCAGCUAGACUACUGGGUUGAUAGGCCGGAUGUGGAAGUGCGGUAACGCAUGGAGCUGACCGGUACUAAUAAGCCGAUAACUUGCC
rnacentral:rRNA from 1 species